rnacentral:rRNA from 1 species
AUGAAGCUGGAUUCGCUAGUAAUCGCGCAUCAGCCACGGCGCGGUGAAUACGUUCCCGGGCCUUGUACACACCGCCCGUCAAGCCAUGGAAGCCGGGAGUGCCUGAAGUGCGUGAGCGCAAGCAGCGCCCUAAGGUAAAACCGGUGACUGGGGCUAAGUCGUAACAAGGUAGC